CCUAGAGGAGAUCACAACAAGAGGAUGGAAUCUGGGGCAGAGGGGGAAGAUUAGCUCCUAAGGCUGGAGAGGAGGACAGAUGCCCAUAACCAGACACCUAUUUAUAUCGGAACAAAAGUUGGGACUCUGGGAGAGUUCGACUCUGAAACCUUCUGUUUUUGCUGUAAGGAUAUCUAUCUGGGGCAGCUUGGUCUGCUGUGAGCUGUGGAGAGGGAGACAAAGAGAAAAAAGAUGUGUUGCUGAAUUUUUAAUAACAUCUGUAUAAGUUGCCAAUAAUAAGCAAAUAAUAAAUAUUUAUUGACUUGAA